AGGCUGACGUGUGGGGAACGAAAAGGGGAGAGUCUGGAGUAGGGGACUGAGCCCACUGGGAGCUCUCCAGGGUGCUGAACCGCCUCUGCCAAAGUACUCUGGCUCUGAGUGCCUGCUUCUUCCUGGCACCUCUGCCAAACCUAAUCCUCACCUUCCGAUUCCCAUGCUCAGCAGAGCCACUAACAGAAUAGAGUGAAUAGAAAUGGGAGUACAUCUGGGAGACAAACAGUUAUCUUUUAGAAGUACUGAGCUCAAAGGGACAACAGGACAUCUAAUUAGAACUAGCUUACAAAGGAUUAGAAAUACCGGAAUGGGCAUGAAGAGAAGUCAAAGCAAGAAGUGCAAAUUCAUGAAUCACAGAGAAAUGGAGAAAGGUGUUAUAAACCUGGUGCUUUCCUGGUGCAUCCUGAAGAAAUUGAACCAGCAAAGUUAGCCUUGGGAAAACCUGUAUCCUAUUGCAAAUAAUGUUUCCUCUGUGCCAUGUGUCUCAGCUCCCCCCAGUGGAAUGUGGGCAGAAAUGCUCUGUGCCGCCUGCAGGACUCAGAGAAACCUCCCAUGUGUGCACCUCCUCACGCCUUCCUUGCCUGCUGCCUGGCUGCUGAUGCAGAGACUCCGAGGGAUGGCAGAGCCACAAAAGGAAAGACCCCAAGUCCCCAAACGAUACCCCACCAAACUAACUCCACCCAGGCUGUUCACAAGGGCGAGUCUGCCAUUAUGUUGAGCCCUUACAUGUUGUGUCUCCUUGUCACACAGUUCAGCCUAGUUUAACAAAUACACACAGUGAACAAAGAAAACAGAUCCUGAGAAGCACAAAAUCCCUUGGUGUUCAACAGUGUCACUGAGCUUGGGGAUACAGUGAGGACUGAGAGAGUCUCUCUCUGUGCCUCGGGAAACUGCCCGAGUAUCUAAGCCCUGUCUCUGU